rnacentral:rRNA from 1 species
UACGGAGGGUGCGAGCGUUGUCCGGAAUCACUGGGCGUAAAGGGCGCGUAGGUGGCGCGGGCAGUCAACGGUGAAAGUUCGGGGCUCAACCCUGAAUCGGCCGUCGAUACUCCCGGGCUUGAGCACUGUAGAGGCAGAUGGAAUUCCGGGUGUAGCGGUGGAAUGCGUAGAGAUCCGGAAGAACACCCGUGGCUAAGGCGGCUCUCUAGUACGGUACUGACGCUGAGACGCGAAAGCGUGGGGAGCGAACAGG